GAACUGUUAUGCAAUCUGAUUGGUUGAAUUACUCGCCGUAUAUCAUCUCAUAUACGGCGAGUAGCGAAAAACAAGAUGGCGGUCCAAAAACUACAUGAGUUGUGCGAAGCAGAAAAAAGGAAAAUAUUCGCUUUGAGAAAGAUAAUAGUACAAGGAAAAACUCUCAAAAAAAUUUGAUAGGUUUGCCAAAUACAUUUAUUACAUAGAAAUUAGUUUAAAUACAAGUUUUUAAAGAAUUAAUACCGAAACAACAGCG